rnacentral:rRNA from 1 species
AUGUCUAGAGUUUGUUUGGCAAGUGACAUGUGCGGGUGCGGUAUCUACUUCAUGUGCAUAAAGGUGAAUCAUCUCCUUUAUAUGUGUUCACUUGACCCCUUCGAGUAUGGUAUACUAUUUGACAUUUUUCUCAUGUGCAUACAUAAGUAUUGUCGGAGCUUCACGGAUGACGAGGAGGAGUGCAAGCGCAAGAGUACGAUUACACCAUCCAAGAAGGCAACAUGGAAGAGAAGACGCAAGAAAGGAGAAGAAGAUGGAGUGGUUGUUGGAGCCAGGCCGGACGUCCGGACCUCCUCCCGGACAUCCAGGAAACAGUCGGAUCAUCUGGAUGCCCUCCCUGAUCAUCAGACUACGGCGGCCGAAUACCCCCGAAGAGUCAUCACGAAGCCAGACCAUUCGGGGGACCACACGGAUCAUCCGGGCUACAGCAAUAGAAGACACCCGAAGGCCUCACGUGAAGUCGGAUCAUCCGAAACUCCACACGGAUCAUCCGAAAGAUGCCCAGAUCGUCCGGGCAGUCACCCGGAUUGUCCGGUCCCUGCUUGUGUGCAUGACGGGCCUUGGGCCUUGUAUCCCCACCUAACUUACCCCUUCUCCCCUAGCACUAUCUAUAGACCUCCACAUCAUUUGUAG